rnacentral:tRNA from 2 species
GCCCCCAUAGCUCAAUGGAUAGAGCACUAGUCUUCGGAACUAGGGAUGGCGGUUCGAGUCCGUCUGGGGGCACCA